GGGGUGUGGCUCAGUGGUAGAGCCUGGGCUCAGAGUGUGUGGGGCCCUGGGUUUAAUCCCCAGCACCAGACCA
rnacentral:tRNA from 1 species